rnacentral:rRNA from 1 species
UACCAGCACCCCGAGUGGUCGGGACGUUUAUUGGGCCUAAAGCAUCCGUAGCCGGUUCUACAAGUCUUCCGUUAAAUCCAUCUGCUUAACAGAUGGGCUGCGGAAGAUACUAUAGAGCUAGGAGGCGGGAGAGGCAAGCGGUACUCGAUGGGUAGGGGUAAAAUCCGUUGAUCCAUUGAAGACCACCAGUGGCGAAGGCGGCUUGCCAGAACGCGCUCGACGGUGAGGGAUGAAGCUGGGGGAGCAAACCGG